GGCAGUGACUGCUGGCAUGCUCUACAAGGGCACUGUGUUCCUGUGUUUUCUUAAGACCUCCCCUACCAAGAUGAUCUUCCAGUCUCACUAUUCCAGUCUAUGGGCAAAAUUCAGCCAUUCAGUGGGAAACAGCACCAGGAAACAAGGAAGAAGCCUUGUAAAGGGAAGAGAGCAAUCAUCCCCACCAGCCUGGACAGUCCCCACAGCAGUGGAUAUAAGAUUUCAUCCAUUCGAAAGGGAUAUUGUGCAAAAAACCCCACAAAACCCCAAAACCAUUCAACAAGUUGAAACUGAGCUUCAAUUGAUCACAGCUGAAAGAAGGAAAUGGAUGUUCACUUAAGUCUGCACCAGUUUUAGCAAAACUAGCUCUUGACUUUAUUCAACUGAAAGAAAUAAAAACUACCUGAUUGUAAACUUUAA